GUCGUAACANGGUUUCCGUAGGUGAACCUGCGGAAGGAUCAUUA
rnacentral:rRNA from 1 species